AUGAAACCGUGAAAGCUGGACUGGCUUGCACGAUCAUUGAUAACUGGGAAGUUCCAUGAUCUGAAAACCCAGGACCCAGAGAAGCCAGCGACAUCGUUCAGUCUGAGUCUGAAACCUUGGGAGUCAAUGGAGCUAUUGAUGAUCUCCUGUAGCCUAGCAGUCUGGUCUCUUCUUGUCACACAACUGGAGAUGGCCUUGAACUUCUGGUCUCUGUCCUCCAUUUCUCAAGUCCUGGGACUGCAGGCUUGCAAUCUCACAUCUGAGCCCAGAUGUUUCUUGCAGCGGAGCCCAGAGUUUUCUGCAUGUUAGAUAUUCUUCACAGCUCAAGAGAACAGGAGAGCCCUUAGGCUCAGGGUGAGCUGGGCUGCUGAAUCAAGGUGGAGAUCAGCUAAGCUCCAAACACAGAAAAAUGUGGAACUCGUUCAACGUAAUCUACUGAGCCCUGCCUAAACCAGGAAAGCUAAGGCGCACUAGUAGGGAGCAAGGGACAACUGUUAGCAUCAUCUGGACUAGAUGCAUCUCAGAAAAACAACAGCAACAGCAAUAGCAACAACAACAGCAUCAAGAGCAACAGCAACAAGAGAAACAACAGCAACAACACAACAGCAACAGCAGCAACAACAGUAACGACAGCAACAACAGCCAAAAACCGAAAAUGGCUUGAUUUAGCCCAGAAAACACUGGGGGCUGGAGAGAUGGUUCAUCAGUCAAGAUCAUGGACUGCUCUUCCAGAGGUCCUGAGUUCAAUUCCCAGCAACUACAUGAUGAUUCACAAUCAUCUGUAAUGGGGUCCAGUGCCCUCUUCUGGAUCCAGUGCGGUCAGAUGGCAUGUGGAAGGAUGCUGUAAAUGACCAGCUGCCCAUCACCUGCCAGCUUGCUCUGCUUACUCUGACAACGAUAAGUCCUCUGUUCCAUUCUCUUCUCACGAAGAACCUGUACCAGUCUAGCCAGGCCUCCAUAACCAAAUGCUACAGGCUGGGUCAUUUACCCAAGAGAAAUGCUUUACUCAAAUUUUUGGAGAUGUGGGAUUCCAUGAUCAAGGUGCUGGCCAGUUUUCUAGUCCAAAGUCUAUAGAGGAGGAAAGUCAACCUUUGAGCACAUCUGACAUUAAGAAGAUACUAUUAUUCCAGUUAAUGUGUCUGGCUCAACACUUGACCAAAGAAUGUUGUGACUUUGCUACCCACUGAGCCCACUCAGAAAACAAGGCACAAGCCCGUUCUUCACCGUAAAGCUCACACUCCCUUGGUGGAGUGGCUGCUCAAGACGUCAAGUUGCACACCUGUCAAGAAACAAGUGAAUAAACAUGAACGGAAGCGAUCACAGGAGAUGGAGAGAAACCCGGCAAACAGGAGGACACUGAGUGAGCCACCAAGAUGCUGGUUUUGUUUCCCUCAUGCCCCAGAUCUGCUGAUCUAGAAGAGGGCUCAGCUUGAGUGUUGGGGGCUCUAAGCCAGACAAUAAAGAGCUAUCUAUGCUGGCAACACAGAGCUCAUCUGAUUGCUUUUAAGGAGGGGAAGGAAUGUAACAAGUCUGUGUGUGAUGGAUCUCCAGAGGUUCCUCUGUGGAAAUUUGUCCUGGGAAGAGAGAACUCUAGUUGGAAGAGAUUGCACAGGAACUUAGGAGUCUAGAUGCACAGGAGUCUGGACAUGCUCCACCCCUUAGAACCCGCUCCCAGCUCGGCCUCCUCCAUUCUCUGUAGAGAGAAAAAGUUGGAGGCCUGAGAGACUUUUGUAAGGCAUGGCAGCUGCUCUGGGACUUCUAAGGCUGUGUGUAUAAUGAUGAGAAGGUAGGUCUUUUGUUCCUCCCAUCACUGUAGGCUACUCCUGAGUUUGGGCAUCCUGAGAACACGCACUCUCUGGCGAUAAGGUUUAAAAGAGGCAGGGGGCACCAAGUGUAGCAGAGACACAUCCAAGAGGAGGCUUAUGUAAUAGCGCCUAGUUUUUGUGUUCAAGGACUAAAGACAUAUCUCAGAAGGAGCUCAGAGGUGGGCUGCAUUCCUCCGUUAAAGGCAGAGAAAAGGCAAUGUGUGAUCCUCCUAUGCCCCACCCCCUAAGAGAUAGGAGAACUCUCAAGCUUGUUAGCUUUGUGAAUUCAGUGAUAAGAGUGAGUUAACUCUUUGAGCUUGUGUCCAGAGGUCCACCUAGUGCCAUAAAUGGAGUAAAUAAAAAAAUUGCUUGCAACCCUUUAUCAUAUGGAUGAAGUCAGGCCACCCAAAAGGAUGUUUGAAUGACAUUAUUUCAACACAGUGACAGCCUGUCUGAGCCCGCCAGGCAGACCUGACAUUGCCUAUUGGAUAUCAUCGCUACCGACACCUCCUCCUUUGAGACUGCAGCCCUGAAGAUGUCAGGGGCAAAUCUGUAGAGCCCAAGUCAAAGGAUGGAAGUUCCACCCCAUCACUCGCUGCUUUCAGAGAUGGGCACACCACCCAGUUUUGGGAAAUGGAAGGUAUAAAGAAGUUUCAUUGGAAGCUUCUGAAAGGGACUGUACUGUUCUUGAAAAAGACACGCUGUUGCCUUCUGACAGGGUUAGAAAUUGCGUAACUAGAGACUCUCCUGUCCAGAAGCCAUGGGUGCGGCAGUUGUGGGGAUGAAGCUAGCCUGCUAAAGAGAGCAGACAGGACAGCAGGAACAGUUCACGAUCCUCCCUGGACUUACUCAGUUGGUGAAUUGACCAACUCCAGCCUCUUGACCUUGGGACUUCUUGCUGUGUGAAACAAUAAAUGUCCUUAUCAUUUC
ensembl:lincRNA Gm43251 predicted gene 43251